CAACCUUAUAUGCUCCAUUUUUGCGCUUAAGGUGUUUGGUGAGGCUGAAGAGAAAGGAAGCAAUGACAUUGUGUGUGCAUGUCAGGGGGAGGGGUAAUGAUAAAAGACAAUCCGGAAUGAUGGAAACAAAAAAAUGCUGGGCUAUGACGAAGAAGAGAAGGGAUGGCUAAACAGGCGCUCAAAUGAAGGGGGAGAAAUUCAUCUCAUUUUCCUUUGUAUGGAAGGUUUGUUGGUUUGAUUCCCAUUGGAUGCUCAUUGACUUGUGUGGUUGCAAAUGAAGAUGAGAUGUGGUUUGAAGAAGAGAGGCGUGUGUGUGAGUAUCACAAACAUUAUGAGAUACAAAUGAACUCAAGGAUUCUCUCCCUUUGUCUUAAUGAUUUCAUUGUGUUCUGCUCACCCUUUCCUACUCUUCCCAUAAUUUCACAAAAACCUUGGUUCUUUUCCCACUGAAAGCCCUUUCUGCGGGUCCCUUGGAUAUCUUUUAGGGUUUGCUCAGCUCCUCUUAUCUCUGAUCUUUUAAUCUACUCCUUCAGCACCAAGUCUCAUGUUCACCAACCAAUCUUGACAAUCCAUUCAACCAGGAAAACUUCCCACUCUUGAAUAUUGUUGGACGUUAACCACCCCAUCCUUUUUGUUAUCCUGCCAUAUCUACUCUCAAUCAAACAAACCCGCCCUCCUGCCCUCCUGCCCUUCUCCCCCCUCGCUUCUUCACCCCCUGUUUCUUCCAGUGCCUGCUCCGUCUUUCCAACCUCUGGUCCAUUUACCGAGACAAUCAAUCUGCAACUGCCGGCGACUGCAAUCGCUACUUUGAUGUCCCUGCGCAACAGCCCACACCCCACAUACACAUUUCUCCGCUGUCACU
rnacentral:sRNA from 1 species